GGAAUGUUAGUAAACUUAUUACAUAGCCUUGUCAAGACUAAAUAAUGGGUUAAAACCCCAUACACUCCU
rnacentral:tRNA from 1 species